rnacentral:rRNA from 1 species
GCUAAGAAUAUUCCGCAAUGGACGAAAGUCUGACGGAGCGACGCCGCGUGGAUGAUGAAGGCCGAAAGGUUGUAAAGUCCUUUUGCUGGGGAAGAAUAAGCAUGGGAGGUAAUGCCCGUGCGAUGACAUGAACCGGCGAAUAAGCCCCGGCUAACUACGUGCCAGCAGCCGCGGUAACACGUAGGAGGCGAGCGUUGUUCGGAAUUACUGGGCGUAAAGGGCAUGUAGGCGGCUUGGUAAGCCUGGCGUGAAAGUCACCGGCUCAACCGGUGGAUUGCGUUGGGUACUGCUGAGCUUGAAUCACGGAGAGGGAGCUAGAAUUCCAGGUGUAGGGGUGAAAUCUGUAGAGAUCUGGAAGAAUACCAGUGGCGAAGGCGAGCUCCUGGCCGAUGAUUGACGCUGAGGUGCGAAAGUGUGGGGAUCAAACAGGAUUAGAAACCCCGGUAGUCC